CUACUGACCCUAUACUAAUAAAAUGGUAAUUUAGCACAUACUUUGGUCCGAUGUGACAUUUCACUUUUGCAUCUGUGUUGAAAGGUGACAGAGCUAGAGCGGUGUUUGUCAGACCAAGAGACAUCCCAUCUGUGGUGAAAGGUGACAGAACUAGAGCGCUGUUUGUCAGACCAUGAGACAUCCCAUCUGUGGUGAAAGGUGACAGAGCUAGAGAGCUGUUUGUCAGACCAUGAGACAUCCCAUCUGUGGUGAAAGGUAACUAAUAAGCAUUUAAUAAAGACAUUUAAAGUACAAUAUUAUGGGGA
ensembl:lncRNA